rnacentral:rRNA from 1 species
UGAGGAAUAUUGGUCAAUGGGGGCAACCCUGAACCAGCCAAGUCGCGUGAAGGAUGAAGGUCUUAUGGAUUGUAAACUUCUUUUACACGGGAAUAAAGUGGGGGACGUGUCCCCCUUUGCAUGUACCGUGUGAAUAAGGAUCGGCUAACUCCGUGCCAGCAGCCGCGGUAAUACGGAGGAUCCGAGCGUUAUCCGGAUUUAUUGGGUUUAAAGGGUGCGCAGGCGGGAUGUUAAGUCGGCGGUGAAAUUUUGCAGCUCAACUGUAAAAGUGCGUUCGAGACUGGCCUCCUUGAGUGUGGAUGAAGUAGGCGGAAUUUGUGGUGUAGCGGUGAAAUGCUUAGAUAGCACGAGGAACUCCGAUUGCGCAGGCAGCUUACUAAGCCACAACUGACGCUCAUGCACGAAGGCGUGGGGAUCAAACA